rnacentral:snRNA from 1 species
AGCUCGUUUGAUUCUGAUUUU